rnacentral:rRNA from 1 species
AGAGUUUGAUCAUGGCUCAGAACGAACGCUGGCGGCAGGCUUAACACAUGCAAGUCGAGCGCUCAGCAAUGAGAGCGGCGCACGGGUGAGUAACACGUGGGAACGUGCCCUUUGGUUCGGAAUAACUCAGGGAAACUUGAGCUAAUACCGGAUAAGCCCUUACGGGGAAAGAUUUAUCGCCAUUGGAGCGGCCCGCGUCCGAUUAGCUAGUUGGUGAGGUAAAGGCUCACCAAGGCAACGAUCGGUAGCUGGUCUGAGAGGACGACCAGCCACACUGGGACUGAGACACGGCCCAGACUCCUACGGGAGGCAGCAGUGGGGAAUCUUGGACAAUGGGGGAAACCCUGAUCCAGCCAUGCCGCGUGAGUGAUGAAGGCCCUAGGGUUGUAAAACUCUUUCGGCGGGGACGAUAAUGACGGUACCCGCAGAAGAAGCUCCGGCUAACUUCGUGCCAGCAGCCGCGGUAAUACGAAGGGGGCUAGCGUUGUUCGGAAUUACUGGGCGUAAAGCGCGCGCAGGCGGUUCUUCAAGUCAGAGGUGAAAGCCCAGAGCUCAACUCUGGAAUGGCCUUUGAGACUAGAGAACUUGGGUACGGGAGAGGUGAGUGGAAUUCCGAGUGUAGAGGUGAAAUUCGUAGAUAUUCGGAAGAACACCAGUGGCGAAGGCGGCUCACUGGCCCGUUACCGACGCUCAGGCGCGACAGCGUGGGGAGCAAACAGGAUUAGAUACCCUCGUAGUCC